AGUUUGAUCCUGGCUCAGAUUGAACGCUGGCGGCAGGCUUAACACAUGCAAGUCGAGCGGUAACAGGAGAAGCUUGCUUCUCGCUGACGAGCGGCGGACGGGUGAGUAAUACUUAGGAAUCUGCCCAGUAGUGGGGGAUAGCUCGGGGAAACUCGAAUUAAUACCGCAUACACCCUACGGGGAAAAGGGGGCACUUGUGCUCUCGCUAUUGGAUGAGCCUAAGUCGGAUUAGCUAGUUGGUGGGGUAAAGGCCUACCAAGGCGACGAUCUGUAGCUGGUCUGAGAGGAUGAUCAGCCACACCGGGACUGAGACACGGCCCGGACUCCUACGGGAGGCAGCAGUGGGGAAUAUUGGACAAUGGGGGCAACCCUGAUCCAGCCAUGCCGCGUGUGUGAAGAAGGCCUUUUGGUUGUAAAGCACUUUAAGCAGUGAAGAAGACUCUAUGGUUAAUACCCAUAGACGAUGACAUUAGCUGCAGAAUAAGCACCGGCUAACUCUGUGCCAGCAGCCGCGGUAAUACAGAGGGUGCAAGCGUUAAUCGGAAUUACUGGGCGUAAAGCGAGCGUAGGUGGCUUGAUAAGUCAGAUGUGAAAUCCCCGGGCUUAACCUGGGAACUGCAUCUGAUACUGUUAGGCUAGAGUAGGUGAGAGGGAGGUAGAAUUUCAGGUGUAGCGGUGAAAUGCGUAGAGAUCUGAAGGAAUACCGAUGGCGAAGGCAGCCUCCUGGCAUCAUACUGACACUGAGGUUCGAAAGCGUGGGUAGCAAACAGGAUUAGAUACCCUGGUAGUCCACGCCGUAAACGAUGUCUACUAGUCGUUGGGGAACUUGAUUCCUUAGUGACGCAGCUAACGCAAUAAGUAGACCGCCUGGGGAGUACGGCCGCAAGGUUAAAACUCAAAUGAAUUGACGGGGGCCCGCACAAGCGGUGGAGCAUGUGGUUUAAUUCGAUGCAACGCGAAGAACCUUACCUGGUCUUGACAUAUCUAGAAUCCUGCAGAGAUGCGGGAGUGCCUUCGGGAAUUAGAAUACAGGUGCUGCAUGGCUGUCGUCAGCUCGUGUCGUGAGAUGUUGGGUUAAGUCCCGCAACGAGCGCAACCCUUUUCCUUAGUUACCAGCGGUUUGGCCGGGGACUCUAAGGAUACUGCCAGUGACAAACUGGAGGAAGGCGGGGACGACGUCAAGUCAUCAUGGCCCUUACGACCAGGGCUACACACGUGCUACAAUGGUAGGUACAGAGGGCAGCUACACAGCGAUGUGAUGCGAAUCUCAAAAAGCCUAUCGUAGUCCAGAUUGGAGUCUGCAACUCGACUCCAUGAAGUCGGAAUCGCUAGUAAUCGCGGAUCAGAAUGCCGCGGUGAAUACGUUCCCGGGCCUUGUACACACCGCCCGUCACACCAUGGGAGUUGAUUGCACCAGAAGUGGGUAGCCUAACUUUUAGAGGGCGCUCACCACGGUGUGGUCGAUGACUGGGGUGAAGUCGUAACAA
rnacentral:rRNA from 1 species